CCAGCCAUAGACCGCCGGUCACUGAUAAUUGACUAUUUCAUAACUUGUUCAGAGUGAGGGCAACCGGGUGGCGUUGAUUGUUGGGUCCUACGCGGCAAUGGACCACGAACCAGGUCAGGUCCGGAAGGAAGCAGCCUUAAGAGGUAUCCGUUGGGUGCCGUAGGGUCGCCUGGCAUGAGCUACUCGGUUGCCGUCACUCUGAAUAAAAUGUAAAGGUUAAUGGGUGG
rnacentral:SRP_RNA from 1 species